rfam:Oryzias latipes DNA, chromosome14, strain: Hd-rR.
ACAACGGUCCUUUUCAGGACCACCCACAUGACUGACGAGCAAAG